GGAGUCCAGAGAACGUCUUUCUCAAGUGGCAGUCACCAAAGUCGUGUCCUGAUAAUGGAUGGGCCAAGAUGGGAAAUGACCCCACUCAGUUUCGGUCCUCCACGCUUCAGUUGUUCAGGAGGUGGGCAUGCGGACGGUCAUGAGCAUCCCUCAAACACUGGAUGAACAGAUGAAUGAAUGAGAGAACGCAACAUAAAGACAAACACAUUCUUCCUGCUGUCCCUUUGUCAUACUGUGGCCACCGCUGGCUGCCUACCAGAUAUCUGAUCUUCCUGCUAACAGAACCCAUGUUUAUUUGUGUCAGGAACACAUUUGGCCUCUCUUGUAGAUGGGUGGCCCUGGAUCCAGACCAAUAAAGUUUAAGCAAAUUCCAGAAAGGUCUUUAAAGGAAACGGUCUCGGCUCCCUUCCUGCCUGAAACUUCUAGGAGAUCCUACGGUGAGCAGCCAGUUUUUUUUGGGGGGGAACACGCAGUGACCAGCUUGAGGAUGGACAAUAAACUGAAAAACAGAAGGAAGCCUGGAUACCUGAUGGCAUCAGGGUGACAUCAUCAGAGUCCCAGCCUUGCUACGGAGACUUUGUGUUCCAUGAGAAAAAGAAAACUUCCCAACUCCUUUUUCCUAUACCACUUGAUGUCCUCUUGCCUGCCAGAUGUAAUCCUCAUCAGUGGAACUCCCUUGGGGAUCAAAGCUCUCACUUGGAAUGACCAUGUAUUGUUCUACAGCUUCCUUAAGAGUAAACAGCCCUACACUAACCCGUGCCCUAGUGCGUUGCUGCCUGUCCUCUUUGUCUUGCA